UACGUAGGGUGCGAGCGUUAAUCGGAAUUACUGGGCGUAAAGCGUGCGCAGGCGGUUCGCCAAGUCAGGUGUGAAAUCCCCGGGCUUAACCUGGGAAUUGCGCUUGAAACUAGCGGGCUUGAGUGUGGCAGAGGGGGGUGGAAUUCCACGUGUAGCAGUGAAAUGCGUAGAUAUCGAGAGGAACACCAGUGGCGAAGGCGAGUCCCUGGACAACUCCUGACGCUGAGGCACGAAAGCUAGGGGAGCAAACAGG
rnacentral:rRNA from 1 species